rnacentral:rRNA from 1 species
GCAUAUCAAUAAGCGGAGGAAAAGAAAAUAACAAUGAUUUCCCUAGUAACGGCGAGUGAAGAGGAAAGAGCUCAAAGUUGGAACCUGUUUGGCCUAGCUAAACCGGAUUGUAGACUGUAGAAGUGUUUUCCAGGCAAGCCGAGUAAAUAAGUCCUUUGGAACAGGGCAUCAUAGAGGGUGAGAAUCCCGUCUUUGGCUUGAGCAUUUGCCUUUUGUGAUACGCUUUCAAAGAGUCAGGUUGUUUGGGAAUGCAGCCUAAAUUGGGUGGUAAAUCUCACCUAAAGCUAAAUAUUGGCGAGAAACCGAUAGCGAACAAGUACCGUGAGGGAAAGAUGAAAAGAACUUUGAAAAGAGAGUUAAACAGUAUGUGAAAUUGUUAAAAGGGAACCGUUUGGAGCCAGACUGGCUUGUCUGUAAUCAAUCUAGGCUUCGGCCUGGAUGCACUUGCAGGCUAUGCCUGCCAACGACAAUUUGACUUGAGGGAAAAAACUAAGGGAAAUGUGGCCCACUUGUGGGUGUUAUAGUCCCUUAGAAAAUACCUUGGGUUGGAUUGAGGAACGCAGCGAAUGCUUUUUGGCGAGUUUUCCAGGAAGGUUUUCUGAGGUACUACGGUAUCAAGGUUGAUCUUUUUGGUUAUACUUCUAUUCGCUUAGGUUGUUGGCUUAAUGACUCUAAAUGACCCGUCUUGAAACACGGACCAAGGAGUCCACCAUUAGUGCGAGUAUUUGGGUGCCAAACCCAUAUGCGUAAGGAAACUGAUUGAUACGAAUCCAUUAAGGAGGCAGUAUCGUCCGGCGCUGACGUUUUAUACUGAAUUGACCGAGACAAAGCACUAAUGAUGGGACCCGAAAGAUGGUGAACUAUGCCUGAAUAGGGUGAAGCCAGAGGAAACUCUGGUGGAGGCUCGUAGCGAUUCUGACGUGCAAAUCGAUCGUCAAAUUUGGGUAUAGGGGCGAAAGACUAAUCGAACCAUCYAGUAGCUGGUCUGC